UCAUUUGCAAUAAAAAGUCCUCUCCCAUCUCUAAUAGCCAAGGUAGGGAACAGAAGUUUGUACUUAGGUGAGCUUAGGCUUUCUUCUGCCUGCUAAUGGGUCUUUAAUCCUUCUUCUAGAGUGGGGCUCCAGGCACAGGUGCAGGCACGUUGUGAGCCAGCUGAGUCCUGUGCACCAGGGCGAGCAUCAGCUGGCCCAUAUUUUCAGCCAAGAGCACAAAGGUAGAGCUACACUGAGCCCUGCUGCCUUCCAUCCUUUUCUUGCUGCAGACUCUCUGACUCCUGGAGCAGAGCCAUGGAUCCCUGAAGAAGUGACUGUAAACCUGGAAUGCCCAUCAGCUGGCUCACAGGUUUACUGUUUGCUCGAGUCAUUACUGCUGACGAGCCUGCUAAUGACUGGAUACAUGCAGUGACUCCUCUGAGAGAGAAGAUGACAAGCCGACGUGCCCAACCAGAUGUGCCUGCAACAGGAACCACACAGUGAAAGAGCAUAAGUUUUGUGCCAUCUGCAGCAAGGCUCCUGUCACUUCCAUUGCUGUGAGGUCCCUCCGGACCUCGGCCAUCCCAUGAUCAAGAGCUGGGUUGCUAAGUCCUGCCGGCUCAUGCUUCAACCAUUGGCCAAGCAGAGGGUGAGGGGUGCAGAGUCAGGCCUGAGUAAUUUAAACUUAAAAUGCUGCAAGUACUGUCAUGGCUGCCUUCACCAUUUCUGCCUUGCAGCAAGAUGGGAGAAUAGAUGAGGAAGCCGUGUGUCACUGCACAGCUCUUCUUCCUGGCCAGUCUGCAGCACAACUCCAGCAACCCAGGGCUGAUCCAAAGGACUGCCGUGCAGAAACAUGCUGCAAAAUCGAACUGCUGACAUUUAGGGCUGGAGAACUUUCUGACCCAGGCCUCAGCUCCUCUAAUUAAACUUAGUUUAUCGCUUUUGCACAAAUGCUAAAGGACAAGGCAUGUUGAGCACACUUCUCAUAUUGACUUUCUUUGGAGUAACCUUUUAUGUAUCUCAGUAGAUGUGUCCUUUUGUGCUGGACAUCAUUAUUCUGCCUUCUUGGCAUGUGAGACAAUACAAGAGAAGAACUGCAGUCAUUUCAGCUGGGGUUGAAACCUGGUGCUUGUCCUGGUGGGAAUGUGAGCAGAGAUGGGUUUUGGAAAUACCGCUAUUUUGUUUCAGUAUCAAUUUUUGUACAAAGUUAAGGGAUGCUGGAACUUACUGUACAAAACUUUGCUCCCCAGAGUUAUAUUUAACUGGUCGGAUGUUUGUUUCUCUAGAUUUCUAGAAGUGAGUGGAUAUUUUCCAAAAUCAGAUUUGAGCUUCUUGUAUCUGACCUGCUGUGAAAGAAGCUUGUUCCCAUCCUUGCUCAGAGUGGUGGAGUGUGUAAGAUGGAUUGACGUACGCGCUCCUGAAGGCAAAAUGCGCUUUGCUUGUCAGUCAGGAAGCCAAUAAUCUCCCUUUCUGGAAUAAAAAUGAAAUGAAUGGAUUCAGUGCCCAAAACAUCGGCCCUGUAAAUCACAUAAAUCACACCAGGAGAGGAAGGUAGGUUUUUAUUUUUAUUUUUUUUUGAAACCAGCUUCUGUGUUUUGUUUUGCCUGCGAAAUCCUUCCUGCUUCUCAAAUGCAAGAUAACAUAGCCAGAAAUGAUGUAAUGAUAGAUGUUUAACUGCAGUUUUCAUUUCAUAUUCCUGAAGUAAGAAUGGGAGAAAAAAUAGAUAUGUUAACGAUCUCCUAUCAUCAUCACAUCCUCUUCUGCUAAUAUGGGAAGAGGAC